AUGAAGGUUUCUUUUCCCCUCCCCUCUACCCCACCCCCCGAUUUUGAUGCAUCUCCAGGGUCGUGUCGAACAUCUAAACUUCUCAAAAUGUACGCACACGGGAGCGUGCUCUCACACCCCACUCGAGUACACGAGCCUGGCUGGGCCGGCUCCCAGUUAGAGAACACAUUCCAUUCUUCGUGCUCGGGCACACCCCUCAGCAGUGGGGAUUGGUCGGGCCGACCCCCUGUCGGCGAGGCGAGGCUCCUAAGAGGCCCAGACGCCUGCCAAUCCCCACGGGCUGUCAAAACAAGUCUUCCCUCCCUGUCACAACAGAGCGGAGUGGAGGUCGCCGCCGCCGCCGCCGCACUUCCUGGGGCCGCUGCGCCGCGGUCCCUGGGCAGGUGGCGGGUGCCCCGGGCAGCGGUCGCCGGGCUCCAGCCCUUUUCAGGCCGCGCGCGUCCCGGCCUCUGCGGCCGCCGGGCCAGGCGCCCGGUGCCUUUUGUCUGGCGCAGAGCGGGCGUGUGCAUCACAUUUCGGACACCUCCCUCUCCUUGUCGUCUCUCCUCCCUCCUGCUCACAUCUUCUCCGCCGUCCCCGCCACCCCUCCACCCGCCGCGGACUGCCAGCCUCCUGGACCAAAGCCCGCGGACGUCUCUACUCGAGCGAUGCCUCCUCUCCAGAAAGUUGCCGCCGCCGCCGCCGCCGCAACCGGGCGGUGAAACAAAGUCUGGCCGGGCCGCCUCCCGGUGCAAGAGCGCACCCGUGCCCAGCGGCUGCACUUCGCUGCCGGGCGUGCCGCCUCCCCACGGGGAGCCCGAACCGCGCUCGGCCAUGGCCGAGGGUGCAGCCAGCAGGGAGGGUUCAGCGCCGCCUGACGCGGCCGGGAGCGAAGACGACCCCCGAGUGGGCCCGGAUGCCACCUCCGGGGACUGUGUGGCGGCGGCCCCUGGGGGCCGGUGGAGGGACCGUCGCAGUGGGGUCGCCCUGCCCGGAGCUGCGGGGCCCCCGGCGGACAGCGAGGCCGCCCUCCUGGAGGCUGCGCGGGCGACCCCUCGGCGCAGCAGCAUCAUCAAGGUUGGAAGAUCAAAUAUUCUUCAUGGAUCAGGACCUGGCUGUUUUAGAAGAAAUUCUCGUCAGUGGUAAAUGAGUAAGACAUGAUGUGACUAAAAGAUUCAAACAAUGACCAGUUUUUCCAUUUUAAGCUUCAGUGGUCCUUCCCACAGUUUCUCUGGCCAUUGCUACUAAUAUUGCAGAACUCUUGGUACUUGGCUACCAAUUCCUCAGCUACCGUCUGUUGAGGUGUGGCUAGUUUCUGUGCUGAUCUUAUGGAAGGAUGUUGUGCUGGGAACCUGGGUUUUUUCUUCAGCUUGUGAUGGUUGAGAAACUGCCAUUCUGAAAUGUCUCUUUUCUGCACUGGAUACAGUUAUUUCCCAUUUCCACAGAUCUGUGCUUUCUUGAAAACUCAUGAUUGUGUGUGUGUGAGUGUAUAGCAAGAUGGUUUCAAUUUUUUAAUUCAAGAACCAUCCUCAGUCAUUUACUGUUAGUAAGAUACUCCACCUGGUAUUGGAGGGAUUCAAGGUGACUGUUGCCUUGAGUCAAUAUUAAAGUCGGUGGGGAAAUUGUAAGCACUCCACUCUGAGUGUUGAAAGGAAAAAGCAAUCACAUCUAAUAGGGAAGGCAUUCUGAUUUGUUCAGGUCUGCUGGUUUGAGCUUUGUUUUCUUCUUCUCCUUUUUUUGGUGAGGCUUAGGGUUAAUUCAUAAAAAGUGAGAAACUAAUAAAGGAAAUAUUUUAAAGUACUUGUUCCUGGAA
rnacentral:lncRNA from 1 species